rnacentral:rRNA from 1 species
AAUAUUCGUCAAUGGAGGAAACUCUGAACGAGCAAUGCCGCGUGAGUGAUGAAGGUCUUACAGAUCGUAAAACUCUGUUGUAAAGGAAGAAACCUUAUCAUAGGAAAUGAUGAUAAGCUGACGGUACUUUACCAGAAAGCCCCGGCUAACUACGUGCCAGCAGCCGCGGUAAUACGUAGGGGGCGAGCGUUAUCCGGAUUUAUUGGGCGUAAAGCGUGUGUAGGCGGUUUGUUGAGUUUGGGAUUAAAGCCCGGGGCUCAACCCCGGUUCGUCUCAAAAACUGGCAGACUUGAGUAUAGUAGAGGCAAGUGGAAUUUCUAGUGUAGCGGUUAAAUGCGUAGAUAUUAGAAGGAACACCAGUGGCGAAGGCGACUUGCUGGGCUAUUACUGACGCUGAGACACGAAAGCGUGGGGAGCAAAUA